rnacentral:rRNA from 1 species
UACGUAGGGUGCAAGCGUUGUCCGGAAUUAUUGGGCGUAAAGAGCUCGUAGGCGGUUUGUCGCGUCUGCUGUGAAAUCCCGAGGCUCAACCUCGGGUCUGCAGUGGGUACGGGCAGACUAGAGUGUGGUAGGGGAGAUUGGAAUUCCUGGUGUAGCGGUGGAAUGCGCAGAUAUCAGGAGGAACACCGAUGGCGAAGGCAGAUCUCUGGGCCAUUACUGACGCUGAGAAGCGAAAGCAUGGGGAGCGAACAGG